GAUCACAGAAGAAGAUUUUACAUCCUUUGAAUUUAUUUUUGGAAUGGACCAUUCGAAUAUAGCUGACAUUUCUGACUUAGCUCCAGAGGAAAGUACGGCUAAAAUUGCACUACUAGGUGAAUAUGAUCCACAGAAAGAACUAAUUAUAGAAGACCCAUACUUUGCUUAUAGAAACAACAAGAAUGCAUUUAAUGAAGUCUAUGAGCAAUGUCUACGCUGCUGCACUGCAUUUCUAGACUCUGUCUCCUGAGCAUGAGAGAUGAUGAAGUCAUCGUUGGACUAGAAGCUCUAUCUCUUGUAUUGAAAGAUAAUCUCGCUAUGUAGAACUAAAUGGUUCUAACUUGGUUUGUGUAACUCUGAUUGGACAUUCACUUUGUUCAUGACUUUAAAUUGUGUGUUUAACAGUUUAUGUGUUUUAUGUAUGAGUGUUCUUUGAUUUGAUGUGAAAAUAAGUGUAAUAUCUGUGAAAAUAAGUGUAAUAUCUCUGUGGAUGAAAUAGUUAACUGCCAGUUAUAAUGUGCCUAUCACCAUUCACAUGUUGGGUAUUAAAAUAUUUAUUUUAAAACACAAACUACUUCA
rnacentral:sRNA from 1 species